rnacentral:rRNA from 1 species
GAUGAACGCUAGCGGCAGGCUUAACACAUGCAAGUCGAGGGGUAGAGGAAGCUUGCUUCCUUGAGACCGGCGCACGGGUGCGUAACGCGUAUGCAACCUACCUUUUACAGAGGGAUAGCCCAGAGAAAUUUGGAUUAAUACCUCAUGGUAUAUAUCAUUCGCAUGUUUGAUAUAUUAAAGUUCCAACGGUAAAAGAUGGGCAUGCGUCCUAUUAGCUAGAUGGUAAGGUAACGGCUUACCAUGGCAACGAUAGGUAGGGGUCCUGAGAGGGAGAUCCCCCACACUGGUACUGAGACACGGACCAGACUCCUACGGGAGGCGGCAGUGAGGAAUAUUGGACAAUGGGCGCAAGCCUGAUCCAGCCAUGCCGCGUGCAGGAAGAAGCAUCUAUGGUGUGUAAACUGCUUUUGUACGGGAAGGAACACUCCUUCGUGAAGGAGCUUGACGGUACCGUAAGAAUAAGGAUCGGCUAACUCCGUGCCAGCAGCCGCAGUAACAC